rnacentral:ncRNA from 1 species
GGCAAGCAUCACCGCGAUGGUUCCCUGUGGUUCGCCAAGGGAUGAAAAGGGAAUACGGUGAGGUUGCCAACAAGCGCCAAGUCCGUGACUGCCCCCGCAACUGUAAGCGGUGAGCGACGCCAAAUACCCACUGGCCCAAAAUGGGUCGGGAAGGAUGGCCAAGCCACGACCCGCAAGUCAGGAGACCUACCAUCCGAUGUUCAACCAA